AAACUUAAAACAGUGUGCGCGGGGGCCGCGGUCUGGUUCUCUUUCAAUUUCCCAGAGCCUGGAAAACGACCAAACAGUCCCUUCUCUAAAACCCUCCUACUUUCUCUAGAACCCCCAAAAUCAGAAGAAACAGGGGUAGAUGGAUUCAGCUCGGAAAGGCCAAGCAGUAUGCGGGCAGGAGGCACUGAAUUUGCUCAACUGCGUGACCGAAACCCCUUACGAUCAAGAGAAGUGCCUCCGUCUCCUUCAGUCGUUGCGCCAAUGCGUCCUCGACAAGAGAGUGAAGAAAUUCUCAUUGGCCGAAGAAAACCAAGGAAGUGUUGAUGCGAGUAGCGAGAAGAAACAUUAAUCACUUGUGAUUGCUAGACAUGUAUUAAACUUGACCAGGUUGUUGCACUAUUUUUUCAGCUAACAGUGAUUGAGGCUAGACAAUGAAAGAUGAUUGCACAUUGCAUAAUCAAGAGGGCCAAGGUUUUCUGCUUAAUGAUGAUCUUAUCCUGUAUUUCAUACUAAAACAUCAGAAACUCUUCCUUUCAUGUCAUUUUCAAUUUAAAGAGCUCCUUUUGAAGGCUAGGUAGGACUUGUUCUUCUGCACCUUCGAUUUACAAGUUGAUGUUGUCUCUAUGAUGAUUCAAAGCAUUUGACAAGAACCUUUGGAACGCUCCAGAAAGUUGAAAUUGCACAA